GGACUUGCACAAGUAGUGGAUUAUGUGGUUUAAUUCGAUGAUAAACGAAGAACCUUACCAAGGUUAGAAAUCAAUCUGAAAGCUCGGAGAAACUCGAGCCCUCGCAAGACAGAUUGACAGGUGAUGCAUGGCCGUCGUCAGUUCGUGGUUUGAAUUGUUCCCUUAAGUGGGGUAACGAACGCAACCCUCAUCGUGUGUUAUACGUGUCACACGAGACUGCCCCGACCCAAGGAAAUAAUUACUUUUUAGCAAUUGUGUCUUUCGGUCGGGGAGGAAGGGGAGGAUGACGCCAGGUCAGCAUGUCCCUUGAUACCUUGGGCUACACACAUAAUACAAUCGCCACCACAACGGGAAGCGACGGGGUAACCCUGAGCAAAUCCUAAGAAAAGUGGCGUCAGUUCGGAUUGGGGGCUGCAACUCGACCCCAUGAAGCUGGAAUUACUAGUAAUCGCGGGUCAGACAUACCGCGGUGAAUACGUUCUCAAGUCUU
rnacentral:rRNA from 1 species